rnacentral:tRNA from 1 species
AAGGCCCUAGUAAAACCAUUACAUAGCUCUGUCAGCGCUAAAUCACAGACUUAUCCUCUGUGGGCCUUAAU